UACGGAGGGUCCAAGCGUUAUCCGGAUUUAUUGGGUUUAAAGGGUACGUAGGCGGAAAAUUAAGUCAGUAGUGAAAGCCCAUCGCUCAACGAUGGAACUGCUAUUGAUACUGAUUUUCUUGAAUAUAGUUGAAGUAGGCGGAAUACGGCAUGUAGCGGUGAAAUGCAUAGAUAUGCCGUGGAACACCAAUCGCGAAGGCAGCUUACUAAGCUAUUAUUGACGCUAAGGUACGAAAGCGUGGGGAGCGAACAGG
rnacentral:rRNA from 1 species